UCAAGCUAUAAAGAGCAUAGGGUGGAUGCCUUGGCACCAAGAGCCGAAGAAGGACGUGGUCAGCUGCGAUAAGCCAUGGUCAGCCGCAAGCAGGCAAUGACCCAUGGAUUUCCGAAUGCGGAAACGCGGCACGUUAACAGCGUGUCAUCAUGUCAUGAAUAAAUAGUGACAUGAGGGGAACCCGGUGAACUGAAACAUCUAAGUAGCCGGAGGAAGAGAAAGAAACAUCGAUUUCCUUAGUAGCGGCGAGCGAAAGGGAAAGAGCCCAAACCGAGGGUCUACGGACGUUCGGGGUUCGGACUUGCAAAAAUCGAAGUACUUAUAGACGAAGAGGUUUGGAACUUCCUACCAAAGAGGGUAACAGUCCCGUAGUCGAAAUGAGUACAAGAGGGCGAGAAUCCAGAGUACCACAGGACACGAGUAAUCCGGUGGGAAGACGGGGGGCCCACCCCCCAAGGCUAAAUACUACUUGGUGACCGAUAGCGUAUAGUACCGUGAGGGAAAGGUGAAAAGAACCCCGGGAGGGGAGUGAAAGAGUACCUGAAACCCUAUGUUUACAAGCAGUGGGAGCGAGAGCGACCAUGUACUUUUUGUAGAACGGGCCGGCGAGUUACUGUGUGCAGCGAGGUUAAGUUGUUAAGCAACGGAGCCGAAGGGAUACCGAGUCUGAAAAGGGCGUAAAGUUGCAUGCAGUACACCCGAAACCGGGUGACCUAUCCAUGGACAGGAUGAAGCGACGGUAAGACGUCGUGGAGGUCCGAACCACACGUACGUGAAAAGUGCGGGGAUGAGCUGUGGAUAGCGGAGAAAUUCCAAUCGAACUCGGAGAUAGCUGGUUCUCCCCGAAAUAGCUUUAGGGCUAGCCUCGAUUUAGAUUACCGGGGGUAGAGCACUGAAUGGGCUAGGGGGCCACAAAGCUUACCGAACCCUAUCAAACUUCGAAUACCGGAUAAUUGAUGAUCGGGAGUCAGACAGUGUGAGAUAAGUUUCAUUGUCGAAAGGGAAACAGCCCAGAUCUACGACUAAGGUCCCAAAGUUCAAGUUAAGUGGAAAAGGAUGUGCAAUUGCGUAGACAACCAGGAUGUUGGCUUAGUAGCAGCCAUUCAUUCAAAGAGUGCGUAAUAGCUCACUGGUCGAGUGAUUGUGCGCCGAAAAUGUAACGGGGCUAAACUUGACACCGAAGUCUAGGCAGAAGGAAACUUCUGGGUAGGGGAGCAACGUGUACGGGCAGAAGCAGAAGCGGAAGCGACUGUGGACUGUACAGGAGAGAGAAUGCCGGCAUGAGUAGCGAGAGCAAAGUGAGAAUCUUUGCCGUCGAAAGCCUAAGGUUUCCUGAGGAAGGCUCGUCCUCUCAGGGUAAGUCGGGACCUAAGCCGAGGACAAUAGUCGUAGGCGAUGGACAAUCGGUUAAUAUUCCGAUACCGCCGAGCAACCGGAUGCAGUGACACAGAAGGAUAGGCAGAGCGUGGCGAUGGUAGACCACGUCCAAGCAGUGAGGCUGUUGUGUAGUGAAGUACGCACAACGUAAGGCUGGGCUGUGAUGGGGAACGAUUACGAUCGGUAAGCUGCUGAAUUCACGCUGGCGAGAAAAGCUGCUACGAAGCGAAGGCGCCCGUACCGCAAACCGACACAGGUAGGCGAGGAGAGAAUCCUAAGACGAGCGGGAGAACCCUUGUUAAGGAACUCGGCAAAAUGACUCCGUAACUUAGGGAGAAGGAGUGCCCAGGAAUGGGCCGCAGAGAAUAGACCCAAGCGACUGUUUACCAAAAACACAGGUCUGUGCGAAGUAGAGAUACGACGUAUACGGGCUGACACCUGCCCAGUGCCGGAAGGUUAAGGGGAAAUGUUAGGGCAACCGAAGCAUGGAACUUAAGCCCCGGUGAACGGCGGCCGUAACUAUAACGGUCCUAAGGUAGCGAAAUUCCUUGUCGGGUAAGUUCCGACCCGCACGAAUGGUGUAACGAUUUGGGUACUGUCUCAACAAGGGACCCGGCGAAAUUGUAGUAUGUGUGAAGAUGCACAUUACCCGCGAUAGGACGGAAAGACCCCGUAGAGCUUUACUGUAGUUUAACAUUGGAUUUCGGUAACAUAUGUACAGGAUAGGUGGGAGGCGAAGAACCAGGGACGCCAGUUUCUGGGGAGCCGACCUUGGGAUACCACUCUUGUGUUAUUGGAGUUCUAACGAAUUGCCGUGAACCGGGAUUCGGACAGUGUUAGAUGGGCAGUUUGACUGGGGCGGUCGCCUCCGAAAGAGUAACGGAGGCGUCCAAAGGUUCCCUUUGCCCCAUGCAGUAACUCUGCCUGUAACGUUUGUCAUUGUAAUGAUCGGGAUCGGUGGCAUCGAACGUCUCUUUUACGUACGAAGGCACGGCACGCAGUCCAUUGUAACCGCCCGAACCCGCGUUGUAGAUCGGUUUGCAGGCCCAGUGCUGGGUUUUGGCAUAGAUGCAGUGGAAAAUGGGCGAUCCCGUCGUUUCAUCAUACGGCACCGCAAAAAUGAUUUCGGGCGACGUUUCGCUUUGCAGACUGAAAAUAUUGGAAAAGCUGUCGUCGAGCUGGUAUUUCGCAGACCCGAUUAUCUCGUUGCAAAGGAUGAGCGUACUGUCGCGCUUGGCGGCAUAUUCGCUGCCGAGCCACGAUUCGGCAUUCAGAUAUACCUU
rnacentral:rRNA from 1 species